rnacentral:lncRNA from 1 species
UUCAUAUAAGUAGAAACCUAUAGCAAGCUAGUUACAAUAUGCUAGAAUCAGUAUUUGUCGUUGUAAACGCACGCGCUGCUCCUUACUUAUUUUGAAAGGAUCUUAUUGCUCCUUAGAUUCCAAUAGAUCACUAGGAGCAUAUGCUUGCUAUAGCUGAAUGCACCAUGUCGUUACGACACGUGCCUUUACAAAAAAAAAGAUGUUAUAAAUGACGACUUGAGACCUUCUAGUUGAUUAGGAAGCAAAGGUGACGGGCAUACAAGAUACCACCCUUUCACCUCAUUGUUUAAAUUACCACUCAAGUAAAUAUAUUGUUCAUUACUCAUGUCACCACAUCAUCAUUGACUCGUACAUCUCCUUGCGCAAGGAAAGAAAAAACAUAUCUAUAGAAAUCUCUAGCAAGGUACAAAAUAAUGGAAUCAGCAUUGGUCCUAGCUAGUAAAGAGAUGGCCCUUGCCCUUUUUUAAAGGAUCUCAUUGCUCCCUAGAUUCCAAUAGACUAUGAGCAUAUGCUUUUCAUUACUCAUGUGGUACAACAUCUUAUGACAAGUGUAUUUACAGAAAUACAUAUAUUUAUAAAUGACGACUUGCAGCCAUCUAGUUAACUAGGAAGCAAAAAUGACAGACAUACAGCUCUUUCACCUCCAUUUUUAGCACUCUAGUAAAUCCAUUGUUUACCGCCGCUAUCAUCCUCGGUGUUUGGUGAUCGCUCACCUUCCUUGCCGCCAUCAUCGAAUCUCACGUUUCCAUCUAUAUGAAAAAAAAAACACAUUUAUAGAAACCUCUAGCAAAGUACAAUAUGCUAGAAUCAGUAUUUUCGUAGACAAGAUGCUCCUUGCAAAAAAGAUCUUAUUGCUCCCUAGAUUCUAAUAGCCCAGGAGCAUAUGCUUCCCAUUAAUUAUCCAGUUAGCACAGUACUACACUAUUGUUGAUAGAUGCUAUAUACAUAGAUUAGUUAUGCAAUGAUAAGCGUGCAUCCCCACCAAAACAAAAAAUAAUUAUCUCAUCUCAAAUAUUGCCUGCCACUUACAAGGACAUGUAGCUACAAAAUUUUAUACCGGACAUACAAAAUCAAACAAAACAAACCAAAAUGUGAGGUUGCAGGAGAGCGAUAUGUAUACGAUAAACUAAAUUUUAUCGACACCAUAAUUAAGGUUUAAACUUCUUCAUUUUUAUGUACCAUGAUUGCCAUCCGUUGCGGUCUCUGUUGCCCUAGAUUCCAAGAUCACGGGUCCAUCUAGCUAAGAAAAAAACUGAUAUAAACACCUAUGUGCAUAUGUCUCCGGUACCAAUCACUCAAGUGAAUCAACACUGCUGCUAUUUUCUAUCUCCGGUGACCCUUUUUGUCAGGUCUCCUCUUCUGUUCCGCCACGAUAUCAGCGAAACGCCUAUAAGAAAAGAGAAACUCGAAUAGGGGACAUGUAUAUAACCAUGCUAGAAACAAAAUUAAUUCCUCCUCGAA